AAGGAACUCGCAUCACAUCGAUGCUCGCGCUCGCCCUGGUCUCGG
rnacentral:misc_RNA from 1 species